UGGAUUGGGUAAAAAAAAUUGUCGCAGAGAAAAACACACUUAUUUCCUUAAAUGCAACUUAUGUUUAUGUGCGAAUAAUAUGACCGAAUUGGAUGAUUAUAUACCCGUACCAACAAAGCCAGCACCAUGUAAACUGCGUAUUGCCAUCUAGACGUUGUUUGGUUAUUUCUGUCUUUGGGUUGCUGUGUUAUUGCCGUUAACAUCAUCUUUUAUCAUAACUCAAAACACAUUUGUGUUAUGCUUGUGACGUGACUACUUUGAUAAAUGUUGCUCGCGUAGACGAUUGCCGAUUUAUUGAAUGAGCAAAAGAAUGGACAGCUAUAACUAUUUUACUGGCAAACUUUUAUAACAAAGAUUCAAAUUGCGAAAAGAAAAAAAAAGGUCCAAAACCGACCAACAAAUUUUACAAGCGAAAUGUUAAGUGGUAUUAACAAACACACAUAUAUGUAAACACAUC
rnacentral:lncRNA from 1 species